UGAUGCAGUUGUUGUUUCUUCUGACGGAAAACUAAAUUCAACAUCAAAUGGAUGCUCUUAAGUAGAUUAUUGGAAGAUCUUUUCAUGUACUUACCUUAACAAAUCUGCUUUUAGUUUUUUCCUACUGAAGGUUGAAUAGCUUACAGAGAUCGACUUGUCCGAGCAUGAAUGACUAAGAAAUCAUCAAGUACAAAUUGGUCUAAACUAAUCACAAACAAAACAGAGGAAACAGGUGAGAUCUAAAGAAGUCUACCACUAAAGAAUGUGGUGCAGUGGAUGAGUCUGCUCCCCCCUUAACUAGAGAUCUCGGGUUCGAGCCCUAGAUAUAGAGAAAUCCUUGGUAGGGAGCACUUCCCCCUUAAAUGGGGCCCUACGCAGCACUAAUCAAAUUAGUCAGACUCCAAUGCGAGGACAAAGGAGUCAUGUCUUUUGUAAUCCAUAGGCCAUUACUCUGCUUCAAUUGUGAAUCCAUAUCAUCAACAUAACAUGAUAUUGUUCGAUUUUUUCUUGUCGAUUCUAUUGAGUUCUGGGGAAAAUAAACUUCUGGAAGUGUUCUAUCCGGUUGGAGAAAUAUGAGUUAGGCUUAAAGAAAUGGUCUAUUUGGUUUAUAUUUCUGAUGAUCUCUUUAUUUGUCAUCAAUAAGGAUUUGUUAUAGAAGAAAAAAGUUGAAUAGUAUAUAUUGUGACCAUAAUAAUAAAAACCACAGGGAAGCUAAUUAUAUUGUGGUUGACCAUAAUAAUAAUAAUAAUCAUAAUCCAUCAUUGCAUGAUCUACAAUUGAAACUCCAACAAAAUCAAAAAUUUGAGUGAUCAAUUCAACUCAAUUGACUUUCCACACUGCCCCCUUGAUGAAGAUGAAUUCCUACAGGUUUUAGAGCUCAAGUGAUUUACCAAAGUGAUCAGACCUUGAAAGCUGCUUUUUCAAGUCUCAGUAGCUGAACGUUCUAUCGAUACAAGAAGGUUUUUUUUCUUUUGACAACUUACAUUAUCAAAAAAAUAAGUUAUAGUUCUAAUGAAGAACCUUCAUAGUACUCCAAAGUCUUACCCAUGGAAAUAGAAGAAUGCUUCAUAUGUACAUUUUUUAUGUACCUUAACUAGAAGUUUAUCUUUUUUUUUGUGAUGUAAAAGGAAGUCUCCAUAGUUUACUUUAAUAUAACCAAUUGUAAAUAGGAAAAGUCCUCCUAUUAUGGUAUUAAUUUUCCUAUUAAUUCACCCCACUAGUUCUUUUGUUGACUAAUUAAACUAUCUUUAGCAAGAUAGUUGACUAGUGUUACCACCAUUAGGAUCGGAGGUUAGGUUUAUGUCUCUUGCUUUGUACUUUCCGUUAAUUAAAGAUAUUAACAUGUUAAUUAGGAGCCAAUGCUAAACCUUCCACUACCAUGGAAGAUAAAAGCCUGGUUCGAUAAUUUUAACAUACAAAAUAUUUUCUUUUCUACAAUGUAAAUAUAUAUGUAAUACAUGAUAUACCAACACAUAGUUGAUAGUCGCAAUGGAAGUAUAUUAGAGGCUUGGAAGUUGUUUUCUGAGAUGAGGGGUUGUGGAUAUGUGCCGACUCAGUUUAGUUUUGGUGGGGUUUUGGGUUGUGAGUGUUUGGAUGUUAUUCAAGGAUUUCAGUUGCAAGCGUUGGCUGAAAAAUUGGGGCUGUUUUUCGUUGAUGCUGUAACAGGGACUGCAUUAUUGGGUUUACUUGGAAGGAAAGGAUGGUUAGAUGAAGCUAUGCAGGUUUUCGACGAAAUGCCUAAAAGGAAUUUGGUGACUUUGAAUUGUAUGAUAUCCUUGUUUGGACAGUAUGAAUGUGUUGAGGAGUCAAUGAUGGUGUUAAGGAGGUUAUUAAGGAGUGGAAUGGCUCCUUCCGAGAGCACUUUCGUGGGCAUAUUGGUCGGUUUUGUUGGGGAACUUGAUUUGAUAUUAGGGGAACUAGUACAUGGGUAGGUAGUGAAAAAUGGACUGGAUUUUUCUGUUUCAGUGAAUAAUUCAUUGAUUAACAUGUAUGCGAAAUGCGCUGACAUACAUAAGACGGAGAAAAUGUUUGAAGAUGUUCCUGUUAAGGAUGUUGUGUCGUGGAAUACAAUGGUUGGUGCAAUGGCGAAGAUUGAAAGAGCAGAUAGGGCAUUGGUUGUUUUUAGGAAAAUGUGUGUAAGUGGCUUAUUGCCUAAUGAUACGAGUUAUGUGAGUGCCCUAAGUUGCUGCACUAGCCAGCAGUUUCGAUUGCUUGGGGAGUCCAUCCAUGCGAAAGUAAUCCAGAAAAAGUUUGAAUCUGAUGUAUAUGUCGGUAGUGCUUUACUUGACUUUUAUGUUAAAUGUGAUAGAUUGGAUGAUGCUCAUGUUUGCUUUGAUGAAAUAUCGGAGAAGAAUGUGGUUUCUUGGAAUACGUUGAUGUUGGGUUAUUCGAGUAAAGGUUCUUCUUAUGUUAUUACGCUGCUUCAACAAAUGAUUCACUCGGGUUGUCUUCCCACUGAGUUUUCUUUUUCUAUUGCUGUGAAAUCGUCAGGACUAUUAGAGGUACUUCAGCUCCAUUCUUUGUCCAUAAAAAUGGGUUACAUUGAUAAUGAUUAUGUCUCUAGCAGUUUCAUUUCUUCGUAUGCAAAAUCUAGUUCAGUUGAUGAUGCCCUAAGGUUUGUCACUACCAAUGACAUGCCACUUCCUGUUGUUGCAUCCAAUAUGAUCGCAAAUAUUUAUAACAGAAAUGGACAAUUCGAUAAGACUCAAGAGUUGUUUUCGGACCUUGAAAAUCCAGAUACUGUAUCUUGGAAUAUCUUGAUUGCAGCCUGUUCUAGAAAUGGUGAUUACGAAGAAGUUUUUGAACUUCUUGGACACAUGCGGAUGGCUAGAGUAUCUCCUGAUAGAUACACAUAUGUUAGCCUGUUUAGUGUGUGCACCAAGCUUUGUAACCUUGGUCUAGGUAGCUCACUUCAUGGCCUCAUUAUAAAGACUGAUUUUAAGCGUUGUGACACAUUUGUCUGCAAUAUCAUGAUUGACAUGUAUGGCAAAUGCGGGAGUCUUGCAAGUUCAAUCAAGAUUUUCAAUGAAAUGACGACUAAAAAUGUGAUCACAUGGACAACCAUUGUUUCAGCCCUUGGACUGCACGGUUAUGCACACGAGGCAUUAGAGAAAUUCAAGGAGAUGGAUAUGAACGGAAUUAAACCUGAUAAGGUUGUUUUCGUAGCUGUGCUUUCAGCAUGUAGGCACGUUGGAUUAGUGAAAGAGGGAAUGAAAUUGUUUGGGCAGAUGAAAGGGAAAUAUGGGGUAGAACCAGAGAUGGAUCACUAUCUUAUUGCAGUGGACUUGUUGGCUAGGUAUGGCUAUUUGACAGAAGCCGAGCAGUUAAUCACUGGGAUGCCUUUCCCUCCAAAUGCUCUAAUAUGGCGCAUUUUUUUGGAAGGCUGCAAGAAAAAGAGAAGCAUAGACGACACUAUCGCUCUUGCUUCAUAAAAUAUGUGUGAUGCAGAGGACUACUAUUGAAAGUAAUGAUCAUGUUGCUUGAUGGAGCUUAUUUAUUGUUUUCUCCCAACAACAUAUGAACAAACAGGAAACUGGUGUAUUGAUAACAUGAUGUUGCCUCAACCGGUUACAAGGUCGAUGGAUUAUCAAGGUAUGAGUUAGUUCCUUGAUUAUUACUGAUGCAGCUGUUGUUUCUUCUGACGGAAAACUAAAUUCAACAUCAAAUGGAUGCUCUUAAGUAGAAUAUUGGAAGAUCUUUUCAUGUACUUACCUUAACAAAUCUGCUUUUAGUUUUUUCCUACUGAAGGUUGAAUAGCUUACAGAGAUCGACUUGUCCGAGCAUGAAUGACUAAGAAAUCAUCAAGUACAAAUUGGUCUAAACUAAUCACAAACAAAACAGAGG
rnacentral:lncRNA from 1 species